rnacentral:rRNA from 1 species
UACGUAGGGGGCGAGCGUUGUCCGGAAUUACUGGGCGUAAAGAGAGCGUAGGCGGCACUACAAGUCUCAUGUGAAGUACCCGGGCUUAACUUGGGGGUUGCAUGGGAAACUGUAGAGCUUGAGUACAGGAGAGGCAAGCGGAAUUCCUAGUGUAGCGGUGAAAUGCAUAGAUAUUAGGAGGAACACCAGUGGCGAAGGCGGCUUGCUGGACUGAAACUGACGCUGAGGCUCGAAAGCGUGGGGAGCAAACAGG